rnacentral:tmRNA from 1 species
GGGGUUGACUGGAUUUGACAGCGGGUAGAAAUGGUACGUAAGCACGCGGAGCGUCGGCUGUUUGCUCCUAAAUAUCAGCGGUCAACAAAUUAAUUGGCGAAAACAAUUACGCUCUCGCUGCUUAAUCGAAGUAUAGUAGAUUACGAGCUUAAUUCCGUCACCAGGUGAUGGAACGAGACGUCGCUCAAGGGAUGUUGUCCCGAAUCUCCUUGAAUCAGCGGCGCAGGUAAAUCGGGAAUAGUUCAGGCAGGCCCCGAUGUCUGGAUGAGAUUUAGGGGAUAAGGUUACGGUUGGUGGCUUGGGUCUUGCCGUGGCACGAAAAUGCAGUCCAAGAUAAGCGUGUAGAAAGCGUAUGGUUUCCUCGUGUGGACGAGGGUUCGAAUCCCUCCAGCUCCACCU